rnacentral:lncRNA from 1 species
CCGAAACUGAAAUGCAAAUUACUGAUUUACGGAUCGGCAGCAGAAGGCGGCCGAGCAGACCCCGCGAACCGGACUUGUAAAAAGAUAAAAAUAUUUUUUUUACGGAUCCAGUUUACGGGGUGUGCUCGGUCGUCACCAGCGCCGACCCGUAAAAUCGUUUUUCUGUAAACGCAUUUUAGAGAUCGGCAUUAUACGGAGCACCUCUAACCGUUUCCAACGGGCAAGAAACGGAAACGGGUCUGUAAUAUUUUGGGAGUAAUUGUCAUGCCGCUGGGCAGGAGGUUCUGUAAAACUCAAACUAUAUUCUCCUCUUAUUUAAAGAAUGAGGCAAAUCUUAUGCCUCUGUUUCAAAAAAAAGGAAGGGUCAGUUCAUCUUCAAGCACGUACGGCUCAUAGCCAAUCAAUCAAUUAAAUGAGUGUAUAUGCAAACCAGAUGACGAUCGAUCCAUUGCUCCAUGCUGAUGGAUUUUCAUUCAGCAUAUUUGUAGAUUGUGGUGGUGUACUGGUGUUGACAUCUUCCGCCGGCGGCGCAUGCUAUCAAUCUGCAUGGAAAUCAGCCGAGGGCAGCGUCUCGCCUUGGCGCUGGAAGGCUUCGCCGCGGGUGUUCAACGGAACUGCCGUGGAGAGGCCCCUUCUUUCUUUUCUUCACGGCCAAGUUGAUCUCUGUUGGGAGCGUUCGUAACUGCCGCUUGGAGGGGUUCUUUCUCUCUCAGCGGAGAGACAGUGAGACACGUGCUACAUGUUGUAAAGCAAAAGCAAAAAAUUCACUUAGAUCCAUUUUUAUGUGAUAGAUCCACUUAUAUACAAGAUUAAGGGGUGUGUUUAAGAAAUACCUUUUCCCAACAGACACCUUCUGAAAGGCAUCCCUUCCAUAUAAUUAAUUACAUGCA